UACGAAGGGGGCUAGCGUUGCUCGGAAUGACUGGGCGCAAAGGGUGCGUAGGCGGUUUGCUAAGACGGAUGUGAAAUCCCUGGGCUCAACCUAGGAACAGCAUACGUGACUGGCAGGCUAGAGUAUCGAAGAGGGGGGUAGAAUUCCACGUGUAGCAGUGAAAUGCGUAGAGAUGUGGAGGAAUACCGAUGGCGAAGGCAGCCCCCUGGUCAGAUACUGACGCUGAGGCACGAAAGCGUGGGGAGCAAACAGG
rnacentral:rRNA from 1 species